GCGAGUGACCAGGAUGAGGACAAAUGAAAUAGUGAGUCGGCCAGCGGACUGCUGGUCCGCUCUGGCAGGCCCGCCCUCUAAACUUUCUCUCCAGAGAGUUAUUUGGCAAAGAGAGCUUCAGAAAACAAUUUUUACUUUCCUUCUCCAAACCCCACCUCCCUCCCCCACCUCAUUUUAAAAAUCAGCUCCAACCUCCUAAAGAGGGAAAGAAAAAGUGAGACCCAAUUCACUUCACAUUUUAUACCACUUAAGGAAAACCAUUUCUUAGAGCGAACGCUUUACGGUUCAGAGAAUAACCUACCGUCUCCUCCCGUUCCUCUCUACCUCCGCACCUCCACUCUCGCCUGUCUUCUUGCCUCGCUUCUACUUGGAAGUGGCUCUUUGCUCUCAGACCCAGCCUCAUCCUUCUUGUCAUCCAAAGUCUCUCCUCUCUCUCUCACACACACACACACACACACAGUUUUGUUCCUAUUUUCUUCCCUCUAUUAGCAAGUAAUAAAUAACCACAAAGGGUAACUGUUUAUUCAUUCAUUUAUUCAUUUUAAGUAGAGCUUAAUAAGCAGCUACUAAUAAGCACCCUACUCUCAAACAGCUAAUAUGCUAGUAAGGGAGAUCAAACGAACCCAUCAGAAACUGUAAAGUGACACGAUGGUGAUGUCACAAGAGAGGCAUACGUGGAAGACCUCUCCUAGCCCGGACACUGUGGAAGCCUCCUAGAUACUGGACCUGGCACAGAGCAGACCCUCUCCCAAACUUUGUUGAAGGAAUGAAGGAUUAUGUGAAUAAAUGGAUGGAGACGCAUCGAGCCCGGCCUUAAAAGGAUGAGGAAGAUUUGGACAGGCAGCAAGGGGAGAGCCAACAUUUUAUAGUGAUCUAAUACAAAGUGGCACUUUCCCCUCCUCUUGGGCCACUAAAUUCAGCACCUGUGUCCAUUCUUGUAACACCCUCUCCACAGCCGACGCCACCUCAAAAAAGCAUGAAUGCUCUUGACUGAAAAGGAAGAAACUGCUGUUAAAAACAUACAUUUGGAAGGGGAACCAAACCAGGAACACUGCAACAAGCUAAGUGAGAGCUGGCAACUUCAAGCUCAGAAACACUUCAGGAGAACCUACCAAAUGCCAGGGGUGAAAACACCUAAGAUGUCCAAGGCCACAGUGGAUAUGUAACCAAGGCUACAAUUACAAGAUUUGUAGGUCAAUUCAAGCCUCUGAAAUUCCAGUUCACCACAUAUGCCAUCUGAGUGCUACAUCCCUUCUAGAAAGAGCAAGUUUAGAGCUGGAAGAUGAGCUAUAUCUAAACAGGUAUCGAAGGACAUGCUGAGGCUUCAGAAAUGAGCAGGACACAGCUGAGUUCACAGUCCAGGGCAGAAGACAGCACAAUACCAAGUAAGCACCACGCAGUAUGCUGAGGGCAAAGGAGAGGUAUGUGCACCAGGAGCUUUAGGAGAAGCGGCUCCUGGGAAGGGAGGGGGUUGGUUAUCAGGGACGACAUGGGAAGGGCACCUCUACAACUAAUGAUUGUACUUCUGACUCGAAUACAUGCCACACACCAUGAGAGGACCCCUAGGAGUAUUCUGAGCAAAGCCUGAGCCUUGAAGGCAGGGCAGAAAGUCUUCUAAUUGCUUCGAUGACUCACAAACCAGCCAGUGGGUCAGAGCUGGGAGAAACUUUAGAGAAAGUGGCACAUGGCGAGCAGCAAAAGUAGGAUCAGAAUGCAGAACUCCAGACGACCAGAUGGUGCUCCUGCCCAAGCCCACCAGCCUCCUCUGGAUCUGUGAAAGAGUUGGUCACCCCCAGCUAGGCCACAUGGCCAUCCCAGGCUAGCAGGGGGUGAGGAACCAUUUUAGCAAGAGGCUCAGAUUGUGGUUGAGAAGUUCCCACCUCGGCAAUGUGGACCUUUUGUUAUUGUUGUCUUAAGGAGACAUGCUCGUACAUAAACAGUCCCAAAUGAAAGCCAUUCCCAGCAUUCCUACAGCUCUAUAUAAGAUAUGGAUCUGAACUCAGCUUAGUCAGAAUGAACAUUCUGGUUAACCUCCUUUCUCCACAGUGGGGAAACUGAGACCCGGUGAGACUGAGAUCUCUCUGCCCAAUCACAUCACAGAUGAGACAGCACCUGAACUAAGGAUCAAGCAUGUUUUACUAAAUGCUCCCAGCUUGGUGGCCUAUGACCUCAGUCACACAGCCCACAAGAGUGAUAGACACCAGGAGGAAAGGAUGGUGCCAAGGGAUACAUUAAUAGACAAUGCAUGGCAGAGACAGAUGAUAGGAAAUUAAGGGAUAAAGGAAGAGAGAGAAAGAAACCAUCUCACAACUCUUCUCUCACAAGCUUCUCAAAGGUCCUUCCCAGAUCCAGCCUUCUGCAACACUACCCCCGUCCUUUGAGGUGUGCCCUCUAUUUAACCUGCCCCGACUCGCACCAUUUUUCUAUCAGUAUCCAACAGCAAAGGUGGCAGAGGACUGCCAAUUUCUUGUGAAUCCUGAAGAUUUCCUUUAUGAGUCACGGAAAACUGAAAUAACUCGGGAGGCGGGAUGACUUUAGAAAGAAACACAGUUUUAAAUCCGUUCCCACUAAUUUGUUCCGCUGUGUGGUAUAACUCCUGAAGACAGAAAAAAUUAAGUUUCUAGAGUUGACGUCAAAAUAGGAGUUUUUGUAAGGUUGUGUCAAUUGUCACCGUGGCAUUUUUUAUUAGGAUUCUUC